ensembl:snRNA U6 U6 spliceosomal RNA
GCGCUCACUUUGUCAGCACAUGUACUAAAACUGGAAUGAUACAGAGAUUAGCAUGGCCCCUGAGCAAGGAUGACAUGCAAAUUCGUGAAGCAUUCCAUAUUUAU